rnacentral:tRNA from 1 species
UCCCUGGUAGUUCAGUGGUAAAGAAUCUGCCUACAAUGCAGGAGACCCGGGUUUGAGCCCUGGGUAGGGAA